rnacentral:rRNA from 1 species
GGCUCAGGAUGAACGCUAGCGGCAGGCUUAACACAUGCAAGUCGAGGGGGUAGAGGAAGCUUGCUUCCUUGAGACCGGCGCACGGGUGCGUAACGCGUAUACAAUCUACCUUUACAGAGGGAUAGCCCAGUAGAAAUUUGGAUUAAUACCUCAUAGUAUAGCAGUUUCGCAUGAAACCACUAUUAAAGUUCCAACGGUGAAAGAUGAGCAUGCGUCCCAUUAGCUAGAUGGUAAGGUAACGGCUUACCAUGGCUACGAUGGGUAGGGGUCCUGAGAGGGAGAUCCCCCCACACUGGUACUGAGACACGGCCCAGACUCCUACGGGAGGCAGCAGUGGGGAAUAUUGGACAAUGGGCGCAAGCCUGAUCCAGCAAUGCCGCGUGCAGGAUGAAGGCCUUCGGGUUGUAAACUGCUUUGUACGGAACGAAACGGUGAGCUCUAAUACAGUUUGCUAAUGACGGUACCGUAAGAAUAAGCACCGGCUAACUACGUG